GGGGGGGGGGGGGGGGGGGGGGAGGAGGGGCAGGGGGAGGGGAGGGGCGAGGGGGUGGGGGGUGUGGGGGUGGCGGCGGGCGGGGGAGGAAGAGGUGGAGAAGCUACCGAGUAGACGGGGAUAACGGGGGGAAGGCGGAGCUAAUAGCGGAGAAUAGAUGGAACCGCAUGGUUGAAGGGUGAAAGACGGUUUUGCUGUCACUGAUAGAUGGAUCCGCGCCGCAUUGGCUAGUUGGUAAGGUAACGGCUUACCAAGGCAACGAUGCGUAGCCGACCUGAGAGGGUGAUCGGCCACACUGGAGCUGAGACACCGUCCAGGCGCCUACGGGAGGCAGCAGUAGGGAAUCUUACGCAAUGGGCGAAAGCCUGACGGAGCAACGCCGCGUGAGUGAUGAAGGUCUUCGGAUCGUAAAGCUCUGUUAUUAGGGAAGAACAAAUGUGUAAGUAACUAUGCACGUCUUGACGGUACCUAAUCAGAAAGCCACGGCUAACUACGUG
rnacentral:rRNA from 1 species